AAAGAGACGGGUUCUAGACCCCACACACGCCACUCGGUAGAGACUUGGGCCCAUAGCUCAGCUGGCUAGAGCACACGACUGAUAAUCGUGAGGUCAGUGGUUCGAGUCCACUUGGGCCCACCACAUGGGGCUGUAGCUCAGUUGGGAGAGCACCUGCUUUGCAAGCAGGGGGUCACCGGUUCGAGACCGGUCAGCUCCACCAGACGGUGGGGUGGGGAGGGGCAUCGGGGGAUGCUCUGGGGGUAGCAGUGGGCAGUGCAGAGCCGUGGGCUGUGCACUGUACAUUGGAAGAUGUGCGGUAUGUUCUUUGACAAGUGAGGAAGGGAAGGCCAGGCGACCGGUGACGGGUUGUCUCCCCCGAGGGUAUUGGGGGAUAU
rnacentral:tRNA from 1 species